UGCGUAGGUGGCUUUGUAAGUCAGUGGUGAAAUCUUAGAGCUUAACUCUAAAACUGCCAUUGAUACUGCUUAGCUUGAAUCAAGUAGAGGUGGAUGGAAUAUUACAUGUAGCGGUGAAAUGCUUAGAUAUGUAAUAGAACACCGAUUGCGAAGGCAGUUCACUAUGCUUGUAUUGACACUGAGGCACGAAAGCGUGGGGAUCAAACAGGAUUAGAUACCCUGGUAGUCCACGCCCUAAACGAUGUAAACUCGACAUUAGCGAUAUACAGUUAGUGUCCAAGCGAAAGCGUUAAGUUUACCACCUGGGAAGUACGACCGCAAGGUUGAA
rnacentral:rRNA from 1 species